rnacentral:sRNA from 1 species
CCUGGGGCUUAAGGAAGGCGAGAGGCUCAGGCCCCGGACAGGGAUGGGGGCAGGUGGCAGCCAGCGCUUCUUAAACUUUCAAACUUUUGGUAAAGUUUAGUAAAAUGCUUUUGUGAGCAGUUUUGGGUUUAGAGAAAAGUGAGCUCAAGCUUCUGAAAGCGGAUGAACACAUGGCGUGUGAGGGGCUCCGGGUGGGCCGUGUCACAGUGAACGUUUACAAAGAUAAACGUCACCUCACACACCCGAGAAUAAGACAAGGCGCCUGACGGGACGAGGCGGCAGGGGGGCUCAGGCCCUCCAGGGCCACGUGACGUCCACAGCACGGCCCCGGCUGGGGUGCAGGCUGUCCCGUGGCUCUGCACCCCGCAUUAUAAACACCAAGGUGGGAUGAAAUGCAUCCUCUCCGCUUAGCAUGGGCCUUGCUCACCAGCCUGGCUCCUCAGACACACCUGGGAUUGCCCCUUCCAGGACAGGCCAGCCCCUUUCCUGCUUUCCCAAAAUGGUCUGGGUGGCAGGAGUGGCCGCUCUGAUCCAGGUGGGCGCGGCCAUGCUUGCAGGGCCCCGGGAAGGUUUACCUUCGUGUGGCAAAGGUGAGGACUGGUAGAAGCCCCAUGCCGCUGAAACGGCCUGUGACGUCCGUGGGAGCCUCCAUGGCAGAACACUGCACACUGACACAGCCCUGACUCCUGGAGCCCUCCCACCUUCCUUCUAACACACCCACCUUCCUUCUGGAGCCCUCCCACCUUCCCUCUAGCAUGCCCACCUUCCUUCUGGAGCCCUCCCACCUUCCCUCUGGAGCCCUCCCACCUUCCCUCUGGAGCCCUCCCACCUUCCCUCUAGCACUCCCUCCCUCUCGGCACCGGCCCCCUCCUGGGCCUGGCCAGCCCCUGCAGCACCCCAGACAGUGAAUCCCACUCCAGUCCCUUCAUCUGGCCAGGGAGAGGCUGCCAGUCUCAUAGCAGCUGCUGAGCUGGUGCCCACUGUGUGCCAGGUUUGCUCAUAGGCACCCGGAUGCAGCCCCAUCCUAACUUUCAGGGGCUUUGGUCCUGACAGGAGGAGGCAGUGGAUGGCAUCCUAGCAAACGCGUGCUGGGAGGGCUGGGUGCUGGGCAGGGAGGGCACCCUGCUGUGGACUGGGAGGGCCAGGUGCUGGGGAGGGACAGGUGUGUGCUGGGCAGGGAGGGCACCCUGCUGUGGGCUGGCAGGGCCAGGUGCUGGGCAGGGAGGGCACCCUGCUGUGGACUGGGAGGGCCGGGUGCUGGGCAGGGAGCGUACCCUAGCACAGGCUUGGAGGGGCAGGUGCUGGGCGGAGAGGGCACCCUCCUGUGGGCUGGGAGGGCCAGGUGCUGGGGCGGGAGAGGCGGGUGCUGGGCAGGGAGGGCACCCUCCUGUGGGCUGGCAGGGCCGGGUGCUGGGGAGGGAGAGGCGGGUGCUGGGCAGGGAGGGCACCCUCCUGUGGGCUGGCAGGGCCGGGUGGGCACCUGCUGUGGACUGGGAGGGCCGGGUGUUGGGCAGGGAGCGUACUCUGGCACAGGCUUGGAGGGGCAGGUGCUGGGCAGGGAGGGCACCCUCCUGUGGGCUGGGAGGGCCAGGUGCUGGGGCGGGAGAGGCGGGUGCUGGGCAGGGAGGGCACCCUGGCUCAGGCCCAGCCGCAGGUCCUGGGUGACCCUGCUGCUUUCUUCCAGCUGGAGGCCCGGACACCACUCCCACGAGGGACGGACAACGAAGUGGCCGCCUUGCAGCCCCCCGUGGUGCAGCUGCACGACAGCAACCCCUACCCGCGGCGGGAGCACCCCCACCCCACCGCGCGGCCCUGGCGGGCAGAUGACAUCCUGGCCAGCCCCCCUCGCCUGCCCGAGCCCCAGCCCUACCCCGGAGCCCCGCACCACAGCUCCUACGUGCACCUGCGGCCGGCGCGACCCACAAGCCCACCCGCCCACACCCACCGCGACUUCCAGCCGGUGCUCCACCUGGUUGCGCUCAACAGCCCCCUGUCAGGCAGCAUGCGGGGCAUCCGCGGGGCCGACUUCCAGUGCUUCCAGCAGGCGCGGGCCGUGGGGCUGGCGGGCACCUUCCGCGCCUUCCUGUCCUCACGCCUGCAGGACCUGUACAGCAUCGUGCGCCGUGCCGACCGCACAGCUGUGCCCAUCGUCAACCUCAAGGACGAGCUGCUGUUUCCCAGCUGGGAGGCUCUGUUCUCAGGCUCUGAAGGUCCGCUGAAGCCCGGGGCACGCAUCUUCUCCUUUGACGGCAAGGACGUCCUGAGGCACCCCACCUGGCCCCAGAAGAGCGUGUGGCACGGCUCGGACCCCAACGGGCGCAGGCUGACCGAGAGCUACUGUGAGACGUGGCGGACGGAGGCUCCCUCGGCCACGGGCCAGGCCUCCUCGCUGCUGGGGGGCAGGCUCCUGGGGCAGAGCGCCGUGAGCUGCCAUCACGCCUACAUCGUGCUCUGCAUUGAGAACAGCUUCAUGACUGCCUCCAAGUAGCCGCCGCCUGGAUGCGGAUGGCCGGAGAGGACGGGCGGCUCGGAGGAAGCCCCCACCGUGGGCAGGGAGCGGCCGGCCAGCCCCUGGCCCCAGGACCUGGCUGCCAUACUUUCCUGUAUAGUUCACGUUUCAUGUAAUCCUCAAGAAAUAAAAGGAAGCCAAAGAGUGU